rnacentral:rRNA from 1 species
UACGGGGGGGGCAAGCGUUGUUCGGAAUUACUGGGCGUAAAGGGCUUGUAGGUGGCCAACUAAGUCAGACGUGAAAUCCCUCGGCUUAACCGGGGAACUGCGUCUGAUACUGGAUGGCUUGAGUUUGGGAGAGGGAUGCGGAAUUCCAGGUGUAGCGGUGAAAUGCGUAGAUAAUCUGGAGGAACACCGGUGGCGAAGGCGGCAUCCUGGACCAAGACUGACACUGAAAAGCGAAAGCCAGGGGAGCAACGGG